GAUCCUGGCUCAGGAUGAACGCUAGCUACAGGCUUAACACAUGCAAGUCGAGGGGCAGCAUUGGAGUAGCAAUACUCAGAUGGCGACCGGCGCACGGGUGAGUAACACGUAUCCAACCUGCCGCUUACUCGGGGAUAGCCUUUCGAAAGAAAGAUUAAUACCCGAUGGUAUAAAGAGUUCGCAUGUUCUCUUUAUUAAAGAAUUUCGGUAAGCGAUGGGGAUGCGUUCCAUUAGAUAGUUGGCGGGUAACGGCCCACCAAGUCUACGAUGGAUAGGGGUUCUGAGAGGAAGGUCCCCCACAUUGGAACUGAGACACGGUCCAAACUCCUACGGGAGGCAGCAGUGAGGAAUAUUGGUCAAUGGACGAGAGUCUGAACCAGCCAAAAGUAGCGUGAAGGAUGACUGCCCUAUGGGUUGUAAACUUCUUUUAUAAGGGAAUAAAGUGAGGGACGUGUCCCUUUUUGUAUGUACCUUAUGAAUAAGGAUCGGCUAACUCCGUGCCAGCCGCCGC
rnacentral:rRNA from 1 species